UGCGCUAUAAUAAGUGCAUGGUAGAGAGUCUGAGGGCCAGAUGCACUAACGCAUUUGCGCCCACUUCAGGCGUAUUUGUUUCGCAACAUGCACGUCAAAUCAUGGCGAGGUAUGUACGAACAGGCCGCACUAA